rnacentral:rRNA from 2 species
UGCAAGUCGAACGAACUCUGGUAUUGAUUGGUGCUUGCAUCAUGAUUUACAUUUGAGUGAGUGGCGAACUGGUGAGUAACACGUGGGAAACCUGCCCAGAAGCGGGGGAUAACACCUGGAAACAGAUGCUAAUACCGCAUAACAACUUGGACCGCAUGGUCCGAGUUUGAAAGAUGGCUUCGGCUAUCACUUUUGGAUGGUCCCGCGGCGUAUUAGCUAGAUGGUGGGGUAACGGCUCACCAUGGCAAUGAUACGUAGCCGACCUGAGAGGGUAAUCGGCCACAUUGGGACUGAGACACGGCCCAAACUCCUACGGGAGGCAGCAGUAGGGAAUCUUCCACAAUGGACGAAAGUCUGAUGGAGCAACGCCGCGUGAGUGAAGAAGGGUUUCGGCUCGUAAAACUCUGUUGUUAAAGAAGAACAUAUCUGAGAGUAACUGUUCAGGUAUUGACGGUAUUUAACCAGAAAGCCACGGCUAACUACGUGCCAGCAGCCGCGGUAAUACGUAGGUGGCAAGCGUUGUCCGGAUUUAUUGGGCGUAAAGCGAGCGCAGGCGGUUUUUUAAGUCUGAUGUGAAAGCCUUCGGCUCAACCGAAGAAGUGCAUCGGAAACUGGGAAACUUGAGUGCAGAAGAGGACAGUGGAACUCCAUGUGUAGCGGUGAAAUGCGUAGAUAUAUGGAAGAACACCAGUGGCGAAGGCGGCUGUCUGGUCUGUAACUGACGCUGAGGCUCGAAAAGUAUGGGUAGCAAACAGGAUUAGAUACCCUGGUAGUCCAUACCGUAAACGAUGAAUGCUAAGUGUUGGAGGGUUUCCGCCCUUCAGUGCUGCAGCUAACGCAUUAAGCAUUCCGCCUGGGGAGUACGGCCGCAAGGCUGAAACUCAAAGGAAUUGACGGGGGCCCGCACAAGCGGUGGAGCAUGUGGUUUAAUUCGAAGCUACGCGAAGAACCUUACCAGGUCUUGACAUACUAUGCAAAUCUAAGAGAUUAGACGUUCCCUUCGGGGACAUGGAUACAGGUGGUGCAUGGUUGUCGUCAGCUCGUGUCGUGAGAUGUUGGGUUAAGUCCCGCAACGAGCGCAACCCUUAUUAUCAGUUGCCAGCAUUAAGUUGGGCACUCUGGUGAGACUGCCGGUGACAAACCGGAGGAAGGUGGGGAUGACGUCAAAUCAUCAUGCCCCUUAUGACCUGGGCUACACACGUGCUACAAUGGAUGGUACAACGAGUUGCGAACUCGCGAGAGUAAGCUAAUCUCUUAAAGCCAUUCUCAGUUCGGAUUGUAGGCUGCAACUCGCCUACAUGAAGUCGGAAUCGCUAGUAAUCGCGGAUCAGCAUGCCGCGGUGAAUACGUUCCCGGGCCUUGUACACACCGCCCGUCACACCAUGAGAGUUUGUAACACCCAAAGUCGGUGGGGUAACCUUUUAGGAACCAGCCGCCU